AAAGAUAAUUUAUCAUGCAUGGCAAUCAAAACAGACGAUUAGAAGCAGGAGCAACACUGGACAAUAAAAAACUGGCUUUCGUUUUGGUGCAUAAAAAGGGUUUAUUUUACCGACCAACAUCUUGAUAAAUAAUUCAGAAUAUAAAAUAACGAGUUUAACGGGA